UACCAGCACCCCGAGUGGUCGGGACGAUUAUUGGGCCUAAAGCAUCCGUAGCCGGCCUUACAAGUCCCCCGUUAAAUCCAACUGCUUAACAGAUGGGCUGCGGAGGAUACUAUAAGACUAGGAGGCAGGAGAGGCAAGCGGUACUCAGUGGGUAGGGGUAAAAUCCGUUGAUCCAUUGAAGACCACCAGUGGCGAAGGCGGCUUGCCAGAAUGCGCUCGACGGUGAGGGAUGAAAGCGUGGGGAGCAAACAGG
rnacentral:rRNA from 1 species